rfam:Bombyx mori DNA, contig: Bm_scaf53_contig27071, strain: p50T/Dazao, build 2, whole genome shotgun sequence.
UUAUUUCAAAUUUGUAUGGAGUUGGAACAAUUUCCCUUCUUUUGCCGCUAGGGGCGCUGUUCAAACUCCAUACAAAUUUGAGUUA